AUGUUUUGUUUGUUGUGUACAGGAACAAUCAUACGUAACGCUACAGAGGAGACAAGCGUCACUCUGAACUGUCCUCAUGAUGUCGGAGGAUCACAUGUUCCAACAUGGAGCAAAGACGGGACUGAAAUAAAACCAAAAAGAAGGUUUUCCGUUUCACCUGUGGACAAGACAUUGAGUAUAAGAGAUGUGAAGCUUAGCGACUCUGGACUUUACUACUGUGAUGGAAAACCUGCUGUGUACCUGACUGUGAUCAAAGGAAAAAAGAAAACCACACCACCACCAACAACUACGAAGCCGACUACGACUACAACUACGACUAUGAAGCCGACUACGACUAUGACUACGAUGCCGACUACAACUACGACUAUGAAGCCGACUACGACCACAAUGCCGACUACGACUACGAUGCCGACUACGAUUACGAUGCCGACUACAAAGCCAACUACGACUAAGAAGCCGACUAAGAAGAGAACUAAGAAGAGAACUACAACUACGAAGCCGACUAUGACGACACUUACUACUACAGCAUCACCAUCAUCAAGUACAAGUAGGUCUACAAUGAUGAUCUGAAGUCUUACCAAGUCUUACUGAGUUAUUAAUUAUGAAUUUGUCUUCCAGUCGCUCCUCCAGAACAAAAACCACCUCUCCCUUUGGUGAUAGGUAUCGUUGUCCCCUUGCUCCUCAUCAUCCUCCUCCUCAUCUUCUACCUGAUUCAUAGAUGCAGGUUUAAAAGACGAGGUAAAUAAAACCUGACACAGUAUGAGUGUAACAUAUUCUGCACACUUUAAUAU
rnacentral:lncRNA from 1 species